CUGUUAGCAUUAAAGAAAAGCAACCUGGGAGGGACAGCACUCUAGCCUCCUCCCUGCUCAGCCUCUCUCCCCUGCCCCUUUCUCCCAGCUGCUGAUUCUGCCUGUUCCCCUGCAGGGAGCACUUUGACCUCUGUUCCAGCUGCUUUGGACCAGGCUCCCCUCCAGCCCCCACUGCCCCCACCGUGAGGGCUGCUGAUCAAGAGGUCCCAUCUAGCCAGGUAAGAAGACCCUUGGCAUCCCUGGCCCCUCAGCCUCAUAUUAAGCCCCUAGCCCCACCUGGGGCCCCAGGACAGGUCAGGCCCAGCUCCACCCUAUCCAGGUUUCUUGUGCCCUGGUUCUGGCAAUACUUGGCCCUUUGCCCCUCCCCUGCGGCGAGGCAGCCCUUUGCCCUCCACUUUCUGCCAAGUCAGGGGGCCUGACUGCUCCUCUGCCCCUUGCCCAAGGCCCAGGGAGGCUUCCGGACACUUCCAGAAAUGCCGGGAUCCACCAGCCCUCCCCCACCCCAAGUCAGAAUCAGGACCUUGGACAGAAAAAAGGCUGCCUCCAGAAUAGUCUUGAGAGACUGUCCCCAAACUCCUCAGCCAGCCCUCAGGCCCUUCCUUCACAGUGCCUUCCCCUGUCUAAGCCUCAGUUUCCCUACUGGUAAAGCGUGUUUAUUAACCACUUCCUUCUGGGGGGGGGUGUAUCUCUAUUAUAUGGGGAUUUAGGCACAGUGGAAACCCCUACAGAAAAUAGCGUGCCGGGCGAUAAUCUCAGGGAAACUGUGGAGGCUUGGAGAAUUGGGGGUGGUAGUACUCCCCACAGCCCCCAAGCUACAUUUCCCUCACUUUGGUGUUCCUGUUCGUUCUCCACCCCCAAAUGGGCAUCUCCCCGCCACCGUCCCGACAAGUUAAUGAUCACAGGCCUUAUCAGAGCCUUUUGCUAUUUAUAAAUUUAUAAAACAAAAGAAAUAAUGGCGUGCGUGGGUAAUUAGUAACCAGAACGGCUUUGCUGAGGAGAGAGAGAGGGGAGGCAUUGAAAUCGGGACCCACUCAGCAUUCCAGAAGAUGGGGAGCCAGACAACAGAAGAGGGGGGUCUGGUAUGGGGAGGCCUCUAACCCUGCUAUCUGACCAGACUGGGGUCAGGGGCAAGCAGCACCUGGCCAUGCAGGGAAACUGCCACCUUCAGCUCCAUCUGCCCCAGGUGUGUAUUCAAUCCAAUGAGACGUGAACUCAGGGAAAGCGGGCCAACUGUAUGCAGCUCUAACCUGGACGCAGACGAACUCGGAGCAGGAAAAACAGCGUGGGCUGAGCAGGUCCGGUGUCCUUCCGCGUGGAUGCAAUCUUCUUCAGCAGUAGAGGGCGCUCGACCUCCACGCGCCACAGCUUCCUGCCAUUCCUUGCCUAAGAAUUCUCCAGUCGGGAAAUUUUGUUCAGAUCCACCCACUUUAUUCCUGGUUGAGACUGCCCCCUCCGUCCAAAUGGCAGAGAAUCUCUUGUAUGAGCAAACACUUCAGGCAGCCUUGCCAGGAUCUCACCUGCUUUCCCCGCUCCGCAGGUGCUGUUAGGAGACAAUCUGGUUCUCACAAGCCAAGAGCUCAGGAACAUCUAUGAUACUGAGAUGCCAAUCAAAUUGGCCAAACAGUGAAACGAGGGCUGGCAACACUCCCUGGAUAAAGGGCUUGCUAUGCAAGCGUGAGGGCCCGAGCUAGGAUCCCUGGCACUCAUGAGGACACCUGGGUGUGGCUUUGCGUAUCUGUAACCACAGAGCAGGCGGAGACCGGAAGGAUCUCGGGGCUCACUGGCCAGCAAUCUAUUAGAAAGAGUGAGCUCCAGGGUCAGUAAGGGACCCUGUCUCAGAAACUAGUGGAGAGCAUGAUAGAAGACACCCUCCACCAACCUCUGGCCUCUUACUGAGCCUGGAACACACGGACGCACGCAUGCGCAUACACACACACUGAACUAGGUAGGGCUCAGGGACCUGUUGAAGGCACCAUUGGCUGGAAGAGCCCCGAACUGGGCAGACAAUUUCAGGCUUUGCAGAUCCCGUGGCUCCCCUGAGUCUGUUUCUUUAUCUGUCCAGGGAGGACUGUGUGUCUAAUACAUGAAAAUUAUUGCAGAAUUACCACUUGCAAUCCAGAAUCUUCCCUAGAAGAAGGCAGAAACUUCCAGAGCGGUACCGCGUGGAAGCCUAGCAUCAGGACUGCCCACUGUAGGAAACCUCCCAGCCCCAUCCAGUGCCUACAGGAGCUGGGACGCAGGAACCGGCGGAUAAGCCUCCUCCCCAACUCGCCACCAGGGUUGAGCCUAUGUAUGGCCCCUUACUCUGACAAAGCUUCGUGCUUCAGGGACUCGACCCAUCCCGGGCUGAGUCGCCCUCCCCUUCCCAGGCCGGAUGUUUGUGCCCGCCUCUCCACAGCUGUUUAUUAAAUCCUAAUUCCUCUUGUAGACCUGAAAGGAGUAGAGCAAGCGAGGGGAGGGGCUUAAUGUCCUUAUCUCCCUCCCUCACCCCUAAAAAAAAAAGGCCCGAGAGAGCUUGUCUGCUCCUGCAGGAGGAGGCUCGUCCGUUAGAGGGCCAGCGAGUGCAGCCCAAGUCAGCUCAGAAAGCAACAGUAAUUUAGUAUCAUCAGGAAUUGCGCCUAGCUGUGUGUAAUAGAAAACCCAAGGUCAGGGUGGUAUUCCAAAUCCGGCCUAAUUUCUUUCAGAAAUGGCACUGGGGAGGGGGGUCCCACACAAUGUUUCCACUACCCUUUU